rnacentral:rRNA from 1 species
CAGUAGCCACGGGAAUACGAAGGGUGCAAGCGUUACUCGGAAUUACUGGGCGUAAAGCGUGCGUAGGUGGUGGUUUAAGUCCGUUGUGAAAGCCCUGGGCUCAACCUGGGAAUUGCAGUGGAUACUGGGUCACUAGAGUGUGGUAGAGGAUAGUGGAAUUUCCGGUGUAGCAGUGAAAUGCGUAGAGAUCGGAAGGAACAUCUGUGGCGAAGGCGACUAUCUGGGCCAACACUGACACUGAGGCACGAAAGCGUGGGGAGCAAACAGGAUUAGAUACCCGUGUAGUCCCUGUCUCUUAUAA